AGAAUCAACGCUGGCGGCGUGCCUAACACAUGCAAGUCGAACGCGAAAGUCCCGCAAGGGAUAAGUAGAGUGGCAAACGGGUAGAGUAACACGUGGGUGGACCUGCCUUCGAGUGGGGGAGUAACGUCUCGAAAGGGACGCUAAUACCGCAUGACAUCCUGCCUUUGAAGAGGCGGAGAUCAAAGCCGGGGAUCGCAAGACCUGGCGCUUGAAGAGGGGCCCGCGCCUGAUUAGCUAGUUGGUGGGGUAAUGGCUCACCAAGGCUUCGAUCAGUA
rnacentral:rRNA from 1 species